rnacentral:lncRNA from 1 species
AUGCACUGUAAUCACAUAUCAUUUACAUGUAGCAUGAAUACAUAAGUGACAAAUCAAGAUAAACAACUCAAUCUUUAAAAAAAGUUCAAUAGGAGAUGAGCAGAUCCAAAAACAAAACUUAGUACACAAGAUCAAUUAAACGUAUCUCUCGAACAAGGCAAGAGGGAUCAAAGAAGAUGCAAUUAAAAACUGAUGUCGAAGUGCCAACCAAGAAAAAGCAGAAUCUGUAGCUUAUUUAGCGCUAAUGGAUCAAGCAAAUGAAUGAAACAAUGACCAUGGAACCACAUGUUCAACCUUAUGCAUCUGCCCCAAACUCAAUUAACAUGGCAGUCUAAAGAAAUGAAUUAAUCCCUGUAAGAGUCAUGGAAUCAAUCAACACGAAAUUGUUCUUAUGCUAAGCUAAGCAAAAAAGGAACAUACGAUGAACUAAAAAAUGAUUCCUAAGUCAGUAACACACACAUAUUUGCGCACACACAUAUUUGCGCACGAUCCAGAGAAUAAUACAACCAUCAAUGGCUACUAAGUCACCCUUUUUUUCUUUUGAAAGACCAAAUACUUAAUUUAGUUCCAACCACUUCAAGGGUUAAACAAGGACAGGAUUCUGGACAGAUUUAGACCUAUACUUGUUGAAUCUAAGACCAAAAUGAAUCCCAAUAGCAGUUCCAAAACUCAACAGAACAAGGGAGCAUAAAUCAUCAGCAAAAAUUUCGUUUAAACUUCAACAAACCAACAGAAAACUUAGUGAAAUAUCACAGAUGCACACUCAACAAAUCUGUCUCAUAUUGCGAUUUCAAUCAAGGCUGACUGAUAUGGCUAUACAUGCCUCGGACAGAGUUGUAAAGAAGAUGAAGAAGAAGAGAAAAUCCAGUCACAUGAAUUGAUUCAAUAACAAUUUACAACUUGUGUUAAAUAAAGAGAAAAUUCACAAACCUGUUGGCGACAAUUACUUUAAACAGAAUCGAAAGGAACAAACGAGUAGGAACUCAACAUUGACCUCAAUCGAAUCCCAACAUUGAAAAACUGAAUCCGAAAGCCAAAUACAUAUGUUUUUUGUGUUUUUGUUUAUUUUGGGAAAAUCAGAGAACAAACUUAAAGAAGACUCUCAAAUCAGAAAAAAUGACUACAAAAGAAAUCCAAAAAAGAAAACCAAGCAAACUAGCCUUUUCAACUUAUGAACCAAUUCUCGAACAUUUUCAAAAACUAAACUAUGAUCGAACAGUGAUAGACGAGGCAGAUGACCGCACGAUCACAUGUUCGGAUGAAUUCUGAGACUGUAGGACCAUACGAACAUUCCUUGAGGCUAAUACAAACAAGAGAAAUGACUACACAAAUCUCAGUUAUUAUUUCAAACUUCAACCUAAUUUAUAACUCAUUCAGAGAUCGAUUUACAACGGGAACUAAAACGAAGAAAAGAAAUGAACCUGGAAUUAAGAGACUGAAUUAAUACCACACUGAAAUCGAUCAAGGAGAGCAAUCAGCAGCAGAACACAAACUUCCGAGCAAUAGCAACCUCAAUUUUCUCGAGUGACUUCCAUUUUUAAACCAAAAUCCAGAAUUAUAAUGAAAAAGAUGAACUCUAGAGGUUUCGAAAAAAUAACUUUAAAGACUAAUAAACAUGAAAUAAAAAUCAGCACCCUCAGUGAUUUUUGUGUUGUUAUAUUAUCAGAAAUCAAAGAACCAACAAAACUGAAGAGGAAAAAGAAAACAUCUCUCAAAAUCUUUUCCGAAAAAUCUCUCCAAAAUUAUCUGUAUUUUUUUCUCUCUGAAAAAAAAUCCCCCUCGCAUAUAAGACUUACCUCAUAUAUAUUUCCUUCAAAAAAUUCUCGAAUCUUCUCUUAAAAAUCCGAAAUCUUCAGAUUUUUUGAAUGAUUUUGGACAAAUGGAGGGCAUGGAUUGAUUUUCAUCAAUCCACGGCCCCAAUUAGUCCAGCAAUCGUCCUUCUUGUACGAGAAUCAUGCAAUUCCUGGAGAAAAUCGUACAAAAAUCCGUUGAGGAUAAGGUGACGUGCAGAGGGGGCACCAAUGAGCGAACUCGUGAACGAGUUAGGGCGAGUUGAAGGAACAAGCGGUCGAAGAAGAUGAAGGAAUAGUAGGGUGCCGCAUCUGUUAUUCUCUAGGGUUAGGG